AUAGUUGUUUCGUGGACCCUCAAAUGUUGUUACGUAGCUUGGAAAUGCAAACCAACAAUUUGGCAAAGCCAUGCAUGGUCCUUCCCUGAAUCAAAAAUCGAUGAGAGUAGUCCUUUUCUCUCUUUGUCCACUGUGUUUCCCAACGUCCUGAUCGUGAGUCGUGGGUGGGAUAUGAUGACAAAGCACUCUCUCAUGGCUUAGGGCUCGAUCGUUUGUAGAGAAAUGAAUAAUAAAAUAGGGUAAGACUCACUUUUAUACUUUAACUCAAUUCAAAAUUUUCAUUUCGACUAUACUUUUAUUCUAUUUUUUUCACUUUACCGGAUAUCCUUAAUGUUUUGGUCAUUGGCCUCAAACCGUCGCAAAGGUGAUGAUUAGAUAAAUUCUUGGGUUAAAUGUAGUGAUUAGAUAAAACUCAUUUCAAAUAAUGCUCGCGAGAUAUCAGGAUUCUUAAACUUUUAACAUUGUAAAUGACGUUCUUCGUCCUGUGACCAAUCAUUGAUGGGUGCUUUUUGUUGUAUCAUGUUUAUAAAAUUUUAUAAAUUAACUAUUUUCACUAUAAAUGUAAGUGUGAAUUUGUUAACUUAUAUCCACUUAUUUUUUAAAUGAAUAAAUUAAUAAAUUAUAAUUAUAAAUUUCUUUAAAAUACAUUCAGGUGUAAGUUGAUAACUUACUCCUAAAAAAUAAGUGAAUCUAUAUGAAUAAAUGCAUAUAAGGUUUAUUAAUUUACACCACUUAUUUUUUAUAAAGAAUAAGUUAAAAAGUCAUAAUUAUAAAUUUUCUUAACUUAUUCCUAAAAAAUAAGUGGGUUUAAGUUAAUAUAUAUAUAUAUAUAUAUAUAUAUAUAUAUAUAUAUAUAUAUAUAUAUAUAUAUAUAUAUAUAUAUAUAUAUAUAUAUAUAUAUACACGUAUAAAAUAAAAAUUUAUUAUUGAACUUCAUAUUUACACACGUCUAAGUAAUCCAAUAUUUAAUAUACAUAUAUAAUCAUUAAGAUAAUAUCAUAUCAAAUAAUUUAAUAAUUAAAUUAAUAAAUAUAUUUAAUUUUAAUGGGUAUGUAGAUUAUGUACAUACAUUGUACAAAAUAUUUCCUCUAAAAAACGAGUGUGGUCUUUUGGAUCAUCUUUGAUACUGAAGAUUUUCAAUAAGAAAGAAGUGCACAUAAAGAUAUUGAAUGGUAAAAAAAUUUAACACCCUCAUCUCUUAUUUUUGUAUACCUCGCACUAGAAUUUUUCAGUAACGAAGAAUACAGAGUCUCCGAAAAACGCAAGCAUUCGGAUUUUAAAAGCGAGUGACACCUGCAGAAUAUUCCAUUCCCUUUUCAUUCACGUAACUCUUAUAGAUCUUUGUAUUUUGUAGGCAGAACAUGAGACUAGCUCUAUCUGAAUAAGUCUGAAGAGUUCAAAUGCAGAAGGUCAGUGACAAAGGGUCCACGUUAUGGCUACGGCGUCUUUCAGAUUCUAACCCAUCUCUAUAUGUCGUGA
rnacentral:lncRNA from 1 species